CAGAGCCUGCCCUGCGUCUGCUGCAGGAAGGGAAGAGCGAAAAAGCAGCCGGCCGCAGAUCCUGGACAAAGUGUCUCCUGAGUUUCACACGAGCCCUAGCAGUAGCUAUUAGAGGUUGGAUGGAAGAACUUCGACAAGGCAUAAUCAUUGUACUGUUUCUAAGUCACCAAUGCUUGCUUUGGGUUUGGACAUCUUGGAAUGUCUCCUAAUAGAACAAUAAGAAGCAUUUCUUGCCAUGGAGGCCAAGAGGGAAGUGAGCCCCCACACAUAGCCCUGACUGUACACAGCCUGCCCCCAUGACCCUGGCCGCUGCGGGUCAACGUGUGCAGAGCGUCCUGAGUCGGCUGCAGCCCUCACCUGCGGCUCCCGUCACUCGCAGAG